UCGGUCAUUGAACGCGCGCGCGCCCCUCUUAAUCGACGGCCGGCUAGCUCGAAAUUUGUGAAUGAAUCUUUUUUCUCGAUCGACGACCUCAGAGCAGGCGAGACCACC
rnacentral:rRNA from 1 species